GCGGGGGUUGUAGAGCCUGGCCAAAUACGCGGGACUUAAGAUCCCGUCCUUCAGGGGUUCGUGGGUUCAAAUCCCACCCCCCGCACCA
rnacentral:tRNA from 1 species